rnacentral:lncRNA from 1 species
CGAUUUUGGUCUUCUUCUUCCUCUUGAAGAACACUUUGUACCCAAAAUUGAAAUCUUCAUAACUCUCUCGAUUCUUAACGGAUUUGGACGAUUUUUGGCUCUAAACCACUCGAUUUUUUGCCCUCUUUCUGUUGGUGGUGGUUGUUUGAUCGAUCUACAUAGGUAUGAGUUCGAAAUUCCCUAUUUACAGUCCGAAUUUGCAUGGUUUGUCUCUAAAACUCCAAAUUUCUAGUUUCUUUGUGUUGAAUGGUGAAAUUCUGUUGGAUUCUAGUCUAUACUAGGUUGGGAAGCUUGUUUAUGGUGUUUAAUUGCUAAAUUAUUGGAAAUUUGGAAGUUUGAUUUUUUGACUUUUGAGUAAAAUCGGGAAUGAACUUAAAAUUUGAUAGGG